rfam:Oryctolagus cuniculus chromosome 12, whole genome shotgun sequence.
CCAAAGGCUCUUUUCAGAGCCACCAACUCUUUCACAAAUAGAGCUG